UAUAAUUUUGGGAUCAUAGUUUUCAUUAAAUGUGAUUUUUUAUGAUAUCUUCAACUGUCUUAUGGCGGAGAAGGAUCAAAUUUAAGAUAUCUUGGAAUACGAUUAUCCCCUUUUUACAUGAUUUCUUCCUAUUAUAGUGGCCCAUUCAGGUUUUUGAAAAGGAUUAAGAAACACCAAUUGACCUUUUUUGGAGCAUUUUGAUUCUAGGAAUUAGGGAAAUCAGCUUAUUUUUUCACUUCAGGUACAUUUUUUCCAUUAGUAUGCAGAAAUUUUAAGACCUAUCUCAAGCAGGUUUGUUUUAUCUAUUGCUUGAAACUAUUCUUUGUGAUUCUCGGGAAAGAAUAGGUAGUUUGAUGUUAAAAAGUGAAUAUUUAGAGAGAACUUACUAAUGAGGGAUUAUUGAAGAUUUCUAGCUGCAAAGGUUUGGUGUUUUUGUUAAUAAUAAUUCAAAGUUUUGAAUUGGGUUUUUUCGUUUGUGAAUUGAUUAAAAUUGUGAGUUUGCAGUUACUGCUAUGGAAAGUGAGAGGACAACUUUGCAGUAUUUACGAUUGGAUGGAGAGAAAAGCUCUAUUGAAUUUGAUGGGUUAAAGGUGAAUCUAAUUAUGACGGACUAUUCAAUGUCAAAGAUGACGGAAUAUGAACUUCUCGAAAAGAUCAAGAACUCAUUGAAGUUGCGGAAAAUACAUGUGAUGAUUUUGUAGCCCGAUUGACUGGUAAACUAA